rnacentral:rRNA from 1 species
AUUGAACGCUGGCGGCAGGCUUAACACAUGCAAGUCGAGCGAGCGGAGGACGGGUGAGUAAUGUCUGGGAAACUGCCUGAUGGAGGGGGAUAACUACUGGAAACGGUAGCUAAUACCGCAUACCAUCAGAUGUGCCCAGAUGGUAUUAGCUAGUAGGUGGGGUAAUGGGUCACCAAGGCGACGAUCCCUAGCUGGUCUGAGAGGAUGACAAGGCACGCUGGAACUGAGACACGGUCCAGAACCAGAAGGGUGGCACCAGUGGGGAAUAUUGCACAGUGGGCGCAAGCCGUAUGCAGCCAUUCCGUGUGUGUGAAGAAGGCCUUCGGUUGGUAAAGCACAUUCAUCGAGGAGGCGUUACUCGCAGAAGAAGCACCGGCUAACUCCGUGCCAGCAGCGGCGGUAAUAC